rnacentral:rRNA from 1 species
ACAUGCCUACAACAUAGCGUUAAUGCAUCAUAUCUCAUUAGAACUCCGUAGUUAAGCACACUCAAACUGGAGUAGUACUGGGAUGGGUGAUUGCCCGAGAAGUCCUAGUGUUUUACAUGCC